rnacentral:rRNA from 1 species
AGUGAACGCUGGCGGUAGGCCUAACACAUGCAAGUCGAACGGCAGCACAGUAAGAGCUUGCUCUUACGGGUGGCGAGUGGCGGACGGGUGAGGAAUACAUCGGAAUCUACUUUUUCGUGGGGGAUAACGUAGGGAAACUUACGCUAAUACCGCAUACGACCUACGGGUGAAAGCAGGGGAUCUUCGGACCUUGCGCGGUUGAAUGAGCCGAUGUCGGAUUAGCUAGUUGGCGGGGUAACGGCCCACCAAGGCGACGAUCCGUAGCUGGUCUGAGAGUAUGAUCAGCCACACUGGAACUGAGACACGGUCCAGACUCCUACGGGAGGCAGCAGUGGGGAAUAUUGGACAAUGGGCGCAAGCCUGAUCCAGCCAUACCGCGUGGGUGAAGAAGGCCUUCGGGUUGUAAAGCCCUUUUGUUGGGAAAGAAAAGCAGCAGGUUAAUACCCCGCUGUUCUGACGGUACCCAAAGAAUAAGCACCGGCUAACUUCGUG